ACCAAAUGCAUUUCACAAUCAGUUAUAGAUUCGCUUGUCAAAUCAAGCCGUGCUUCAAACAGUUUACUGUCCACAGAAAACUGUUACUGUACUAACGUUUCAAUGACUUAAGGUGGCUGCAGCGCCUGUCACUUUAAAAGACACACGGCAGGGGAAAAUAAGUAUUGAGAACAUCAACGUCUUACUCAGUUAUAUCUAUAAUGAAGCUAUGACCCAGCUAAUCCACAGACAAACAACAACAACAAAUUAAUCCAGAAAUAAUGUGUAGCAAAGCAAAAUGAUGCAGGAACAUUCUUACUGAAAUUUAUUACAGGCCAAUAAAAUCAGCUGAUUGGUACUAAUGAGAACAGGGUUAUUGUUUAACCCUAAAAAGCUUAAAAUCUUUUUAAGAUGACAGAUUUUAUGUUAUUUUAAAGCUUCUUGCGUUCAACACUUAUUCUUUAAUUCCAGUUUGUCUGCGGUCCAGUGGGAUCGCACUGUCCCCGUGUGCUUUGUUACAUGUUUCAUUAUUGUGUAGUUUCAGGAACUGACGGUCUGAUGGAUCAGCCUUCCCUGCUCUCUGACCGUGACAUUUGCUGCUAAGACCACGAGAGGAUUCAUGGACUUGUUUAUUUUUAUAUCUUUGAACAUAUUGACUCGGUUUGUUACCACCAUAUUGGUCGAUUUUCAUUAGAGAAGUACAACUAGAAACAUAUUUACCGAGAUAUAAUGUUGAUGGCACUAAUGUGGUGCACCUAAAAAUGCCACCACAGUAUUUAUAUGUUCCCUGAGCCAGAAGUGACCCACUGUGCAGUAGAGAGGCCAGUAACCGGUGAAAAGAGUGUACCAGCCUGCAGAGUGCAGCGCUGUGGACUCAAGCGUCCGAGAUCAGCAAGAUGUCUUCUGGUGAGAGAAAACAACUACUAUGGAGCAUCAAGAAAAAGUUACACCAGCUAAAAGGUAGUGAAGCCCACCUCAUCGCAACUUCUCUUGGAGACGUGGAAGGACUGGACUCCAGUCAGCUGACUCAGAAUGAUGAAGAAAGUUGUGUUGAAUAUCUGACUACCUACCUAAUAUGUCCAACAAUCCUGGGUCGGGAGGACCAGGGCUUGCCAUUAUUAAAAAGACUGGAAUGUUUCCUAGACGGCACUAUGAUGAAUCGUGGACAUGCUACAGUAUCCUUUGAAGCAGAAGCAAGUACAAGUGAGCAGGCCAUUUCCCCUGUUCAGCCACAAGACGGCUGUGGCGACACAGACAUACUGAGAUUAUUGGCCCGCUAUGACUCUAUUCAAGCUCAAUAAAACCAAGCCUUAUCCACUUCCGCUUCUCCAGACCCACAGGGACAGAAUCCAACACCACCUCGCUCCAGCCAAUCUCGCAACCAGCAGGUAACUUGGGCGUCAGUUCCACCAGCUACAGGGGACCCACUUCUCCCGACUCUCCAACCCCAUCACCAACAGCUGUGCUCACCACAGUACUCUGUUCCUCGUUCAGGGAACAUUCCAAGUCACCCUGGUGAGAGCAUGAUAGCCAUGAAAGAUUUGCCGCUGCUGUCCCGCAGAGAAUUCAAAGUGCAUGGGGCAAUGAUUAGUGACACAACAUCAGAACUCAGUUACAAUAGCAUCUGUAAACAGAUAGAUGAGGGUCUCAGGGAGAAUCAAAUGAGGUGAUUAGAGGAGUGUUAGGAAGCAGUGCCUCAUAGCUGACAGUGGGGUCACCUAGGAGGGUCUUGAGGUCUCGGCGAACAUUGUCAUACUUCUCCACUAUGCCCUGGCAAAUAGUGUUGAGAAAGAUGCACUGAAUUGUGGAAAUGUCGUACUUAACGACUGAGUCUGAUUGUCUGAGUGAGAACAAGAUCUUUUGCUUCAGUCCAAUCAUUCUAUACAAAAACUGCUGAGGGGUCUCAUUUUCAAACUGCUUAGCACACAUUAAAUCUUGGAAGAGUGCUGUGCUACUUUUCUCACCUAAGUGAGACUGCAGGAAACUUUUAAGCUCAGAAACUGUGAGAUCGUCAUUUGUUGUUAACAUGUCUCGGAAGUUACCUGGCACAGCUGAAAAUGAACUGGUUCAAAACUGUGAAACAGACAAUGAACAACGAGAACAAGAACUGGAGAGAGACACUGAACAGGUUGAACUUGAUAUCGAGGAGGAGGAGCAAAUACCAACUCAGGAGGGAUUUCUCAGGAGAUCUACACAAGCAAGGAGACCACCUCAGUCACUCAGUUAAAACACUAUGGGCCAGCCUUCUUACCAGCCACAAGGGGUCAUAGGUCAUGUUGGACUGUGUGGGUUACAAGCUUCACCAUUGUGGGCAAUGCAACCUGUACAAGGACAUUUUUAUGUUCUUCAUCAGACUGUACCUUAUGCAACGACAGUCCCUUUCGCAAGGCCUUAUAAUUUUGUAUACUAAGAUGUGUACACUGAAGGAAAAGUUCUUUGAGUGAGGUUCUUGUGAUAAUAACCAAGUUGUUAAUAUUUGGUGAAUUGUCAUCACUGGCUUUGAAGUGUCAGAGCCACCUUUUAAGUUGGGGAGCGUGUGGUGCACCUAAAAAUGCCACCACAGUAUUUAGGUUUUUUUUUUAAAAUAAUUUUUUUAAUAUUUUCAGGUACAAUUUAUUCUAUUUUCUAAAAAAAAUAAUUAACAAAUUACAUUUUGUUUGCAGUUCGGCAUGUUAAUCUGCCUACAUUUAUAGUGCUUUCCUGAGGUGGGGACGGGAGCGCUAGUGGCGAAGCGGAACCUUUGUUUGGGGGACGUUGCUUCCAGGUUGGUUUUGGGAUGGACUUCCGGUGUGCCCCAGACGCAAUCUGAAUGCUAACGGCAGCGCUACGAUCGCUGACCUCUGUUUAUUUGUCCUCCUGGUCAGUAUACGGUGUAGUUAGCUGCUGGGUUAGCAUCACUGCUACAUGUCAGAGUCACGGAGCUACCCACCACGAUGUCACCAAACGGACUCUGAGACACUGAAGGAGAUCUGGGAGCAUCUGUAAGAAAAAGUGUAGUUAGCUGCUGGGUUAGCAUCACUGCUACAUGUCAGAGUCACGGAGCUACCCACCACGAUGUCACCAAACGGACUCUGAGACACUGAAGGAGAUCUGGGAGC